rnacentral:lncRNA from 1 species
AAUAAAAGAAAGCCUAGUAAAGGUAUUUAUAUACAAAAUGAAAUUUAUCCUAAUAAAAAUUAGAUUAGGGAUUUGGUAGCUUAUACAAAUGGGCAGGAUAACUCGCACAUUCCAGGUAUGGCUUGUAGUAAGUGGUCGUUGUGACAAGAUUGAUUUAUGAUUUUUAGGAUCUCUACUUCAUGAUGCUCAAGAUAGUCCUGUACUUUCAUAGAAUAACCCAUGCUAAGUGUUUGUUAUCAAAUACUAUGAUUUUAGUCUUUUGAGGAUAUCAUCACAUAACCCUUAGAGGAGCUUGUUGUAUCAUAAAAGGAGCCAUGGGAUGCUCUUGUCUGAGCACUUUAAUUUCACUUUCUCUAUUUUUUUCAUACGGUAGCCUGGAAUGACUUGUCGUUUGAUACAAUGGAUCAUUCAAAGACUCAUUUGAUGCACUUAGGAUCCAUGUUCAUAGUUAUUAAAUUUUGAACUCCCAGAAUCUAUUUUUCCUUCAAAGACCACAAAAACACAUCAUAUCCAUAUAAUUGUGCCUUAGAACCAGCAUAUUUUAAA